rnacentral:tRNA from 1 species
GCCUGGGUGGCUCAGUCGGUUGAGCGACUGACUUUGGCUCAGGUCAUGACCUCACAGUUUGUGAGUUCGAGCCCCGUGUCGGGCU